AAAGUCGUAACAAGGUCUCCGUUGGUGAACCAGCGGAGGGAUCAUUACUGGACUCGAAAGACUCCUAAACCCUGUGAACCUUCUGAAAGACACGUUGCCUCGGCGGCGUCCUCGCCCUCCGAAAGGGGGAGCGGGACGCGCCGCCAGCGGCACAACUACCCUGCAUCGCGCGUUGGCAUCUCGAGGACGAGGAAGCAAUCAAAACUUUCAACAACGGAUCUCUUGGCUCUG
rnacentral:misc_RNA from 1 species